GAUGAACGCUGGCGGCGUGCUUAACACAUGCAAGUCGAACGGGAAACCUUUUAUUGAAGCUUCGGCAGAUUUCGCUGGUUUCUAGUGGCGGACGGGUGAGUAACGCGUGGGUAACCUGCCUUAUACAGGGGGAUAACAGUCAGAAAUGGCUGCUAAUACCGCAUAAGCGCACAGAGCUGCAUGGCUCAGUGUGAAAAACUCCGGUGGUAUAAGAUGGACCCGCGUUGGAUUAGCUGGUUGGUGGGGUAACGGCCCACCAAGGCGACGAUCCAUAGCCGGCCUGAGAGGGUGAACGGCCACAUUGGGACUGAGACACGGCCCAGACUCCUACGGGAGGUAGCAGUGGGGAAUAUUGCACAAUGGGGGAAACCCUGAUGCAGCGACGCCGCGUGAAGGAAGAAGUAUCACGGUAUGUAAACUUCUAUCAGCAGGGAAGAUAAUGACGGUACCUGACUAAGAAGCCCCGGCUAACUACGUG
rnacentral:rRNA from 1 species